UGAGGAAUAUUGGUCAAUGGGCGAGAGCCUGAACCAGCCAAGUAGCGUGCAGGAUGACGGCCCUAUGGGUUGUAAACUGCUUUUAUGUGGGGAUAAAGUGCGUGACGUGUCAUGCAUUGCAGGUACCACAUGAAUAAGGACCGGCUAAUUCCGUGCCAGCAGCCGCGGUAAUACGGAAGGUCCGGGCGUUAUCCGGAUUUAUUGGGUUUAAAGGGAGCGUAGGCUGUCUAUUAAGCGUGUUGUGAAAUUUACCGGCUCAACCGGUGGCUUGCAGCGCGAACUGGUCGAAUUGAGUAUGCAGGAAGUAGGCGGAAUUCAUGGUGUAGCGGUGAAAUGCUUAGAUAUCAUGACGAACUCCGAUUGCGCAGGCAGCUUACUGUAGCAUAACUGACGCUGAUGCUCGAAAGUGCGGGUAUCAAACAGG
rnacentral:rRNA from 1 species